rnacentral:rRNA from 1 species
CACGUAGGGUGCGAGCGUUGUCCGGAAUUAUUGGGCGUAAAGAGCUCGUAGGCGGCUUGUCGCGUCGGCCGUGAAAACCUGCAGCUUAACUGUGGGCGUGCGGUCGAUACGGGCAUCACUGGAGUUCGGCAGGGGAGACUGGAAUUCCUGGUGUAGCGGUGAAAUGCGCAGAUAUCAGGAGGAACACCGGUGGCGAAGGCGGGUCUCUGGGCCGAUACUGACGCUGAGGAGCGAAAGCGUGGGGAGCAAACAGG